CUUGAUGGAGCCGAGCAGCAGGGGCUGCCCGUCGGGCCGCUCCUGACCGUAGGUGGCGAGCAGCGCCUGCGCCUC
rnacentral:antisense_RNA from 1 species